rnacentral:rRNA from 1 species
ACUCCUACGGGAGGCAGCAGUGGGGAAUAUUGCACAAUGGGGGAAACCCUGAUGCAGCCAUGCCGCGUGUGUGAAGAAGGCCUUCGGGUUGUAAAGCACUUUCAGUCGUGAGGAAGGGUAGUGUAGUUAAUACCUGCAAUCUGUGACGUUAGCGACAGAAGAAGCACCGGCUAACUCCGUGCCAGCAGCCGCGGUAAUACGGAGGGUGCAAGCGUUAAUCGGAAUUACUGGGCGUAAAGCGUGCGCAGGCGGUCUGUUAAGCGAGAUGUGAAAGCCCCGGGCUCAACCUGGGAACUGCAUUUCGAACUGGCAGACUAGAGUCUUGUAGAGGGGGGUAGAAUUCCAGGUGUAGCGGUGAAAUGCGUAGAGAUCUGGAGGAAUACCGGUGGCGAAGGCGGCCCCCUGGACAAAGACUGACGCUCAGGCACGAAAGCGU